rnacentral:rRNA from 1 species
GACGAACGCUGGCGGCGUGCUUAACACAUGCAAGUCGAACGGAAAGGCCCUGCUUUUGUGGGGUGCUCGAGUGGCGAACGGGUGAGUAGCACGUGAGUAACCUGCCCUUGACUUUGGGAUAACUUCAGGAAACUGGGGCUAAUACCGGAUAGGAGCUCCUGCUGCAUGGUGGGGGUUGGAAAGUUUCGGCGGUUGGGGAUGGACUCGCGGGUUAUCAGCUUGUUGGUGGGGUAGUGGCUUACCAAGGCUUUGACGGGUAGCCGGCCUGAGAGGGUGACCGGCGACAUUGGGACUGAGAUACGGCGCAGAAGCCUACGGGAGGCAGCAGUGGGGAAUAUUGCGCAAUGGGCGGAAGCCUGAUGCAGCAACGCCGCGUGCGGGAUGACGGCCUUCGGGUUGUAAACCGCUUUCGCCUGUGACGAAGCGUGAGUGACGGUAAUGGGUAAAGAAGCACCGGCUAACUACGUG